rnacentral:tRNA from 1 species
GGCCCCUUAGCCAAGUGGUAAGGCAGAUGAUUGCAAAUCAUCCAUCCCCGGUUCGAGUCCGGGAGGGGCCU